rnacentral:rRNA from 1 species
UGGGGAAUAUUGGACAAUGGGCGAAAGCCUGAUCCAGCCAUGCCGCGUGUGUGAAGAAGGUCUUCGGAUUGUAAAGCACUUUAAGUUGGGAGGAAGGGCAGUAAGCGAAUACCUUGCUGUUUUGACGUUACCGACAGAAUAAGCACCGGCUAACUCUGUGCCAGCAGCCGCGGUAAUACAGAGGGUGCAAGCGUUAAUCGGAAUUACUGGUCGUAAAGCGCGCGUAGGUGGUUCGUUAAGUUGAAUGUGAAAGCCCCGGGCUCAACCUGGGAACUGCAUCCAAAACUGGCGAGCUAGAGUAGGGCAGAGGGUGGUGGAAUUUCCUGUGUAGCGGUGAAAUGCGUAGAUAUAGGAAGGAACACCAGUGGCGAAGGCGACCACCUGGGCUCAUACUGACACUGAGGUGCGAAAGCGUGGGGAGCAAACAGG